GAUGAACGCUGGCGGCGUGCCUAAUACAUGCAAGUCGAGCUAACAGAUUAGGAGCUUUCUCCUCUGACGUUAGCGGCGGACGGGUGAGUAACACGUGGAUAACCUACCUAUAAGACUGGGAUAACUUCGGGAAACCGGAGCUAAUACCGGAUAAUAUAUUGAACCGCAUGGUUCAAUAGUUAAAGACGGUUUUGCUGUCACUUAUAGAUGGAUCCGCGCCGCAUUAGCUAGUUGGUAAGGUAACGGCUUACCAAGGCAACGAUGCGUAGCCGACCUGAGGGGGGGAUCGGCCACACUGGAACUGAGACACGGUCCAGACUCCUACGGGAGGCAGCAGUAGGGAAUCUUCCGCAAUGGGCGAAAGCCUGACGGAGCAACGCCGCGUGAGUGAUGAAGGUCUUCGGAUCGUAAAACUCUGUUAUUAGGGAAGAACAAAUGUGUAAGUAACUAUGCACGUCUUGACGGUACCUAAUCAGAAAGCCACGGCUAACUACGUG
rnacentral:rRNA from 1 species